GAUUUUAAUUUAAAGUCUAACCUGCCCAAUGAGUAGUUGAAUGGCCGCAGUAUUUUGACUGUGCAAAGGUAGCAUAAUCAUUAGUUUCUUAAUUAGUAACUGGAAUGAAAGGUUGGACGAGAAAGUAACUGUCUCUUUAUAAAUUAUUUAGAAUUUUAUUUUUAAGUUAAAAAGCUUAAAUAUGUUUAAAAGACGAGAAGACCCUAUAGAGUUUUAUAUAAUUUUAUUUAAUAAUUUGAAUUGAAUAAUAAAAAUUUUAUUUAGUAAUUAUAUUUGAUUGGGGUGAUUAAAAAAUUUAAAAAACUUUUUUUUUAUAUAAACAUUGAUUUAUGAUUUAUUGAUCCAUUAUUUAUGAUUAAAAGAUCAAAUUACCUUAGGGAUAACAGCGUAAUUUCUUUUUAGAGUUCUAAUCGAUAAAGAAGUUUGCGACCUCGAUGUUGGAUUAAAAUUUAAUUUUGGUGUAGAAGCUAAAAAAAUUAGGUCUGUUCGACCUUUAAAAUUUUACAUGAUCUGAGUUUAAACCGGUGUGAGCCAGGUUGGUUUCUAUCUUUAAAUUAUUUAAAUAUUUUAGUACGAAAGGACCAAAUAUUAGUAAAAUUUAU
rnacentral:rRNA from 1 species